UUUGUACUCCCUCCGUUUCAAAAUUCUUUUCUUAGAUUUGUCUAGAUACGGAUGUACCUAAUACUAAAAUGUAACUUGAUACAUCCGUAUUUAGACAAAUUUAAGAUAAGAAUUUUGGGACGGAGGGAGUAUAUU
rnacentral:pre_miRNA from 1 species